rnacentral:lncRNA from 1 species
UUUUUUUUACAUUUUUUUUGUGCAAAACAAUAAGCAAUCAUUACAUGUGGGUUCGGCUCAUCCAUAGAGAUAGAUAAUCCACCUUUUUUUUUAAUUUGAAAAAGAAUUAAAAAAAAGCUCAUCCACAUAUGUUUCGUGACCUUAAAAAUAAAUGAAAAACCUUUUUCACAGAGACUCUACAAUUUUUAAAAGAACUAUAAAAAAAUUCUUCAAAGAGAUUUCAUAACUUUAAAAGGAUAUGAAAAUGCUUCUCUAAAUAAAAGUUUUGAAACUUUAACUCUUUGAAAAAAUUUGAAUAAUUUUAUAUUAAAAAAUAUUAAUUUUUUUUUAUAAUUUUAUCUUUUUUUAAAUAUAAAUCAAGCACUACAUAAAAUAUUUAUCAUUAUAAAUAUUUAAUUUUAUUUGAAUUGAUUAAAAUAAAUUGAAUUGCAUUAACGUGAUUUUGAUGUAUUUGUGUCUUGAUUGUGAUUUAAUUAUUAUAAAUAUAUAUUUUAUUAAUCAAUUAGUAAAAAUAAAAUAAUCAAUCAAGUAAAAUCAAUCAAUUAAAAAAAUUAAAAUCAAAUAAACAAGGUUGAAAAGUCAAAAAGGAAAAACCUCCAAUGUGCUUCAAUGUAUUUUAGUCACCUACUGCACAUCUUUUUCUAGAUCUUUUACCUCUUUUGUUUUGGCUUUGAGCAUAAUUUUCGGAUCAUGCUACCUUCAUCUCUUUCUACCUUUAGACCACACGAUUUUAAAAAGGAGAAGCCUUCUGCCAUAAUGAUCUUUCAAGGUCACGAUUUUCAUCAUCCUUACCACAAUCCACUUCCCCAACCAAGACAAUCACCAAUUCUUCCAUUAGUUGCAACAAAUGGCCCCAUUCCCAAAGCUACCAUCAACUGUGACCAGAAGAAUAUCGCCUAAACGAGACCCAUUCUCACGGCCAAAGAAAAAACACCAUUCUCGCAACCUCUUGAUCGUCAAGAACUCAACAUCAACUCAGCCCAACUGAAGCUACAACCAGGGACCCUUCCCCUGCCAAAGAUAGUCCCCAACUCCCAUUUAUAGUACCAAGACAUUGCCCAGCACCAAUCCAGCAGCGCGUCGCCCUGUGCCGCCCUAACACAACCCUGCACAUACCAACCUCGAAAUAAAACUCAACCAAAAUUGGUCACAACCCAAAUACCAAAAAAAUCACAGUCUUCCCUAAAAGGAGGAACCUCAAAACAGCAGCAAAAAUAAAAAAAUAAAAAAGGGAAAACAAAUACCAAAAAAAAGAGAGAGUUUCGAUUUGAGUGAUUUGGGGUAUUUUUAGGCCGAGAUUUUUGGAGAAGAGAGAGGGCAGAGUUAGGAGAGAAACAUAGUGAAGGGAAGAGAAGUUUGAAGCAGCGGUAACGACUGUUUUGGGUUUUGAAGCCACAGGGUUCAAAGCCAGUUCUAGGUUUAUUGAGAUGUUUUUAGGAAAAACCAAGGUCAGAUCCAUGAUAAUGGAAUCAGGAGGAAGAAGUGGGUUAAAUUUGGGCUUGAAUCGGUGUCGACAACUGGCGGCCAGUGACCAAAAGUGUUGGUCGGCAAAGCGGCUGCCGGCUGAUUUUUUGGUUCUUCAUUUGGCCAAUUGCAGAUUUGAGAAAGAGGGAAAGCAUUUGAGAGAGUGUGUGAGGAAAGAG